UCCGUAGGCGGGUUUUUAAGUCAGUGGUGAAAGCCUACAGCUUAACUGUAGAAUUGCCGUUGAUACUGGAAGCCUUGAGUAUAGUUGAAGUGGGCGGAAUACGUCAUGUAGCGGUGAAAUGCAUAGAUAUGACGUAGAACACCUAUUGCGAAGGCAGCUCACUAAGCUAAAACUGACGCUGAGGGACGAAAGCGUGGGGAGCAAACAGGAUUAGAUACCCUGGUAGUC
rnacentral:rRNA from 1 species